rnacentral:rRNA from 1 species
GAUGAACGCUAGCUACAGGCUUAACACAUGCAAGUCGCGGGGCAGCAUGGGGGUUGCUUGCAAUCCCCGAUGGCGACCGGCGCACGGGUGAGUAACGCGUAUCCAACCUGCCCUUCACCACGGGAUAACCCGGCGAAAGUCGGACUAAUACCGUAUGUUGUCCAUUGACGGCAUCCGAUUUGGACGAAAGGUUUGGCGGUGAAGGAUGGGGAUGCGUCCGAUUAGCUGGACGGCGGGGUGACGGCCCACCGUGGCGACGAUCGGUAGGGGUUCUGAGAGGAAGGUCCCCCACACUGGAACUGAGACACGGUCCAGACUCCUACGGGAGGCAGCAGUGAGGAAUAUUGGUCAAUGGGCGUAAGCCUGAACCAGCCAAGUAGCGUGCAGGGUGACGGCCCUAUGGGUUGUAAACUGCUUUUAUGCGGGGAUAAAGUGGCCCACGUGUGGGUUUUUGCAGGUACCGCAUGAAUAAGGACCGGCUAAUUCCGUG